rnacentral:misc_RNA from 1 species
CUUCCACAAAAUUAUUUCAAAAAUUAAAACUCAAGUUGGACCAAAAACGUUGAAAACCAAACUAAAAUCAAAAUAUCAAAAAGCAAACUAGGACCCGAUUAGCUAUAUGAAAAUAUGAAGAAAUCACAAUGUUCAGCAUAGUUAAAAUCACAAUAUUCAGAUUAGGUAGAACGAUCAGAUUCAGAGGGGGAAGACGGGGAAUAGUAAACAGGGAGGUAAGAAUAGAAGUAAGUAACAAAGAAAAUAGGAAAAGGCUACCUUUAAAAGUUUUGUGAACUGUCUCUGCAAAAAAUGCAAGCGUGCCCAAUGAAGUAGCGACAAGAACAACAACCUACCAAAGUAAAAACAGAAUAGAGAAAAAGAAAAACUUGAAAAUUACAUGAGGAAUUGCCAAGCCCUGUGCUCAGUAACUAAAGAGUCAAGAAAGGCUGUCAGUUACUUCAAAAACAGUGGACAGAGAACAAAAGCUGUCGGAAAAUUAAAAAUCACUGAGAGAAACCAUGCAUGUAAUUCAUAUACAUGUUUAUAUGUGGGGAAAAACCAGGCCCUACAAAAAGAAAAGACGACAUGAAAUCUCCAUCUAUUUAUACAAUUAUGUAUUAUUCAUAAAUAUUUAUACAGGAGUUGAGAAGGAAAGGAAAAGAAAAGAAAAAAGAUUUGGCAUGAGCUCUCAACAGGGAAGGUCUUUUCGCCGAUUGAAAACUACAGAGUCUAAACCUUCAGCAAAUUGCUGUGUUGUGUACCAGUGUGAGCAAUCGCAUGAAUUCACAUACCACAACGUACGACCCUCUAUGGUCCCUCAUUAUUGAGCAAGUAAUGACUUUGAUGAAGCAGCAUUUCUAUUUUUUUUAAUUCUCGGGUGAGCAUCAAAUUAAGAAACAAUUUUGAAAAAGAAGAAGGAUAAAAGCAAGAAAGGGGAUUAAUUAAUCAAUUUGCUGUUUUCUUUGUUGAUAAUACGUGUUGGGACGCAAAAACAAAUCAGAUAUCCAAAUCUAGGGACAUGGAUGACUUCCCUUUCAGGACAAAUUGGGUGGAAGCGGCUUGCCAUUGAAGAGCGUUAAUUGUAGGGAAUGGUGGGAAGGUGAGGAAAUUUGAGGAGCCUGAAAUGCCAUGGUAGCAUGAUGAGGACGAGAUAUUGCUGUGGCUGAGGACAAUUUGUCGCAUUCUUCAGAAUCCGUCAUGGGGCACUCCAUGUUUACCCCAAACAGUCUCAGUCUCUUUGCAGCCGCUUUCCCUUGGACCACCGGCACCGACUCAUACACCAUUGGCUCCACAAUCCCACCCCCUCCUUGUUGCUGCCAUUGCACCAUCCCCAUUCCAACCUGUUGUGGGGCUGCCGACCCCAUGUAAAGUAUUGUCCCCGAAGAAGGAUAAGGCUUUGCGCCCACAUUGCUGUAAUUGCUGCUAUUAUAACCAUAGCCAUAAGAAGAUCCACCACCAACACAAUUGUAAUAAGCAUUCCUAUUGGGAUUCAACAAGUGGAUGUGGUCCCUAGGCAUCAUCGGCACUGCUGGCGGCCGCAUUAGUAGGGGACUCCAAGGGGUGGAUGAGGAGUGGUGGUGCUGCCGGUGACGGUGAUGGUGGUUGUGAGAGGUUAGGUCCUGUGCAUCAGAGCGGCACCUCCAAUCAAUGUAGAAAUGAUCCUUGCCCGUCUCACCCACCCCUCGCUGAAACGACACAACAUCACCAGCAUCGAGCUUCUUCUCCUUUACAAAACGGCUCCAACCCUUGGUCAUCACAUAGCUCUGGCUGCUAUUCCAGUAGGAGUAACGGAAUCUCCAUGCUUUCCCAGUCCUAUCCUCGAAAUUCAAAAGAAGGCCCUUCUCGUUGGUUGAUGAAUCUAGCGGGAAGUACUUUUCUGCGUGCUGCUUUGGGAUCACAAGUCGAUUUAGCUUGCCAACAUCGCUUGGUGUGACUACCUUAUCAAACAUGUGUUCCUUCCCUAUGACAGCAACAGCAGUGGAUUCUUGUGGCCUGCCUUGUUGCUCAUCGUUGACAUCCAUAAGCUCAAGUUUGGAUGCAGCUCUGCUGUCAUUAAACCUGGAGGUGUCUUCUUGUUCGUCAUACUUGCUGCCUAACCAAGAACCCAUUUGAGCGUUGUGUUUGUCAUGGAUUUGGGAUGAAGGGAGCAGGUGGCCCUUGUGCUGAGAGGAAGAAGGUGAUGAAUAGGAGGAAGAUGAGCAGAAGAAAGGGAGCUUAUCUUUACUCAUUUGGCUAUCUUCGCUAAAACUGGAUCCAAAUUCCAUGUUUUGUCGGGUGGAUCUAUAUGGGAUGAGCAUAGAGCGGUAGAAGAAAAAGGAAAAUCAAAGGAGAAAUAAUUCCAUGGAAGGAAAGAAGUGGGAAAGGGCUUAGAUUAAAAAAGAAAAAACAAAAGAAAUAAAGUGUUGAGUUUUCUAGGGUUAGAGAUAAUUAGGCAAAACUGAGAGACCAAGAAGAAGCAGAUAUCUUCUUUGAUCGAGAAGACUCCAACACAGAAGUACGUAAGAGUAGACAAGACAAAGAAGCCCAGCACAGACGUUUCAAAGAGUGCAAGUUCUUCUUGCUGUUGACCUCAAAUAUAUAUAUUAGUAUGUAUGAAGGGUGAAUUAAUAGGUGAUGCAGAAGUGAAUGAAAUGUAUUGAGGGAGAGAAACCGAAGGAAAGAAAAGAAGAGGAGGAAGAAGGAGCCUCCUUCGCUCGAAGCUUCUCAAUAAUUCAGGACUUAGGGAAUGCCCUCUUCUUCUUCCUGAAUAAAUUCUAUCUUUUUUUCUUCUCUCUUUUUAAUUUGUUGAGAAAGAGAGAAAUGGGAGGGAGGCGUUUCAAGUUUAUACGUGGGGACCUCAUGUAUUAUCUGAUUGGGCUCAUGUGAGCUUGUCAUUGUCAUCAUUCUGGGUGGUAUUGCAUUAUUUUCUUCUUCCUCUUUUUAAAAUUUAAUUAUCAAAUUAUUUUUUAGGUAGAAUUUAAUUACUAAUAUUUAUUUUUUUGUUGCACGGUGCUAAAAAGGCCAGCUGUUUUGGAAAGCACGAGCUUCUGAUCUGUGAUAUUUGAU